GUAGAAAAUAAUUUGGGGCAUGUUUAUUGCUUCUUUGGCGUAAAAAGAACCAAUACCCUGUAUAGAACACAUAAAUCAAAAUGAUUGUUAGACAAUAAAGAGUAAACUGGAAUUUACAUGAAUACCUACUAACUCUCAAAAUAUACACACUUUUUGAUCGCACACCCAAUGUCCCUGUCAUCAAGAAACCCUUCUCGGAAACACACUGUUUAAUCACAUUUUGUCAAAUCCCGUUUUCUGUUUCUCUAUUAUUAAUUAGACAGAAAAAACCACCUUCGGUGGAAGGGUUAACCCAAGUGUAACGACCCCUUCCCUACGAUCAAGAGUGAUACACAAUAAUAUUCUGCUCUUUGUUGCAAGAUUUCUCAAUAAAUCCGUAUUGGAAUAUAGGCCUACUGAGGAAAUCUACAACAAUGAAACUUUAGGGACUUCUACAAAAGACAAACUUGCCUGGUUCAAUAACAAUAAAAACAUAUAAAUUGAUUCUUCAAAUGUUAUUACAUCACACAACACCUUCAAUGGAAUACUUCCUGUAAUAACUGGUACAAAAAUACAAACUGCAUAUGAUAUUUUUCUUAUAAUAUACUAUUUCAAUAUAAACACACACACACAUCAAAACUAUGGAAAGUUGUACACGUUUGAGCUACAGAGUACCCUAUGAAUGAAUACAAGUAGAAAUAUACUUUGGAUAAUACAUUUUUAUAUAUCUUUCUUAUAACACACAUUGAAACAAAUACCAUACUUUCUGAACUACUUCAACACAGUUCGUGUAUAGUACUUAAUUUUCGAAUACCAAAAUAUGAACUAUAGUAUAGUAAAUAAAAUGAUUACCAAUAGCUUUCACCUAUGUACAAAUGAACAGUGUUAAAUGAACCUUGAUAGAAAUUGAUACCAUCAUGUACAAAAGAGAAUACAAACUUGCUAAGCAGAUAUAAGAUAAACUCAAUAACAACAAACGAUUACUACUCCAAAAUGUCAUGGCUGCAUAUUAUUGCUUGUGACUUAGUUCCCUUGUAAUUUUUGCAGGUUUCAUAGGAACAAUACAAAGUAUUCUAUCUAAACUUCUAAUAAACAUGGCACCUAUCGAACUCAGUUAAAUCUAAAUAAACCACCAAUUAAUGCUCAUCACCAGAAAUGGAAAAACACACCGGCUCAUAAUUUGACACAAUAUCUGUAUAAAUGUUUAUAACUAUCAAUAUGCCUGCCAAAGGUCAAGAAGUCAUAUUAAUAUUUUGUAUUUUCUUUACAAUAACAGUAACUUUGUAAAUAAUGAAUUCAUAUUUGAGGUACAAAAAUAAAAAAUAUGUAGAGUUUCCAAAGAUAAUUUGAGAUGUUUCAUGAAAACAAACUGAGUAACCCUAAAAUAAUUGAUGUUUUUUUGGUAAUAAAUAAGUAAAAAAUAAAGCAACAAUAUUGAGAUAUGCUGUACCUUUUUCAACAAUAUAUACAAGUCUUGUUUAUGCAGUCAGUAAAUUGUGAAUACAAACAAAAUCUGGGCUCCACCUCUUUAUAUAUAUUCAAAAAAAAAAUUGUAUAAACGAACAUCCAGAUUUAAUAGCUAGCAUCCUUGGGCCUUUUCAACAAAUUAUUAACAAAAAUUGUCAGUCGCUAAUUAAUUUGAAGGGAAAAAAAUGAAAAAGUGAAAAAAAUGAAUAAAUGUAUAAAUAAAAGGGAUUACAGAAAAAUAGCUGAAAUCCUUGGGUCUUUUCAAACAAAAACAGUCAAAUAUUCUGACGCAGUCAUUAUUUUAAAGGGAAAACAAAUAAAUAAAUAAAACAGAUCUGAGUAACACAUAAAGCUAUUUUAAAUAUUUAACCGCUGUAUCGCACUCGGUCUGACAUAGUAAGGGUUUACAUUUGUCAAGCUGAUUUAUAUCAUAAAACAAAACUAAACAUAAAUGGCAUACCUCAUGAAUGAAAAUGUUGCUUCCACAAAUACUGAACUGUAAAUAGUACUACACCACUGAAAUGCUUAUCAUGACAAGCAUUUCUUGAAUGUGGUUCUGAUGUGUAAGAAUAGUAGCCUCAAUGCUUAAGGCCAAAUACUUCCCGGCUAUAGUCGCAGAUUAAUUUGGAAAAUUUAUGCAAGGAGCCUGGAGUAAUGAUAUUUUGUUUCUGUCAAGUGAAGAGUCAAUUUAUUAUCUUUGAUUGAUUGGAAGGAACAGGUAAAACAAUUCCUUUUCCUUUUUUUUUUAAAGUGAUGGUGGUAAUAAUAUUUUUAUCAUUAGAGGGGGUUUUGAGAUGACAUUUUUACUUGUGUAUAACCUUGGUAGCCCCUGUUCAGCCUGUAUUCUUUGUGUAAAAGUCUAACGAUUUAAAAUUAAAAUAAAUAAAUAAUCAAAAAGUGAAUCUUACAUGAACUAUGUAUUUUCACUUGUAUGUGCCCCAAAAGUACAGAACAAUCUUGUAUUUCCCACACAGCAUGUCAGUAACAAAACAGAAUGUAAUUUUGUUCAAAAACUAAGGGACACAAUGAGUUGUUAUAGCUUCCGCAUAAUAAAUCUUAGGGUCAGGAAGGAAGGUAAAGAGGCAGUGUCAGGUCAAAUAGGGGGUGGAGAGGGGUCAUGUGAUGGGUGGUAAAUGGGUAAGUAAAGGGGGUGGUGUCAGGUCAAAUAGGGGGUGGAGAGGGGUCAUGUGAUGGGUGGUAAAUGGGUAAGUAAAGGGGGUGGUGUCAGGUCAAAUAGGGGGUGGAGAGGGGUCAUGUGAUGGGUGGUAAAUGGGUAAGUAAACGGGUGGUGUCAGGUCAAAUAGGGGGUGGAGAGGGGUCAUGUGAUGGGUGGUAAAUGGGUAAGUAAAGGGGGUGGUGUCAGGUCAAAUAGGGGGUGGAGAGGGGUCAUGUGAUGGGUGGUAAAUGGGUAAGUAAAGGGGGUGGUGUCAGGUCAAAUAGGGGGUGGAGAGGGGUCAUGUGAUGGGUGGUAAAUGGGUAAGCUUCCAUGAGUCCUUGCUUUAUUUAAGUCAAAAAAAUGUCCCCAUAUCAGAGGAGACCACCCCGCCAGCAUGUGACUAUGCAAAAUAACAUUACUCGCCUAUUUCUUAAAGAAACUUUCCAAGCAACUUUACCUCUUUUUGAGGGUGAUUGUUGUAAGGGGGGGGGGGACCCAAUGUCAGGCAUUGCUAUAGGAAAUUCAUCACAACAUGGUUACUGUAGCCCAAAAACCUGAACAUCCCAUACAGAGCCAUAAACUGUACCAAAUGAUAUGACCAGAUACCAUCACAAAAUCUGGAUUUCACAGACUCUUCAUAAUCUACCUUAAAAUAAAACCAUCUGACUUUGAACCACAAUUUCAAAAACAGAUGUUGAUUAGUUUACAAGGAGGAGCCCAUAGUCAGUGAGUUAAGAGCUGUAGUCAGUGAGUUAAAGACUGUAGCUAUCCUACCAUCCUACCAGCCACCCAGAGAACCCCCAAACUGUUAAACCAUACAUUCAUUGAUCCCUGUACCAUUCCCCACAUCUGAAGAACCACUCUGCCAACCCGACCACCGUCUCCCGAUGGUGCCAGGAGUGUUAUGCGAGUGGGUGGUAAUAAUGAGGGUUUAAGGAGAGGGUGAACGAUGGAAGAUGACAGCUUACUAUCAGCUCCUAUACUUGCACCGCCUAGUGGCUGUGGAAUCAAUUUUGACGUCUGCCUUUAUAAGUUUGGCUCCAAAAUAGAUUUUGAAAAACACAAAAGGCAAGUUUAUUUGUGUGAAGUUCGGCUCCAAGAGUUUGAAACACAAAAGGCAAGUUUAAUUUGUGUGAAGUGCCAGAUGUGAUGAUGGGGAGGGUAUGUUUUGGAGAUGAAGUCAUAGAAAGAAACUAUUCCAUCAGGGCAUCAUCAAGCAUUUGUCUUAAGAAAAUUAUUGACUAGAUUUGGACCUUUAACCCUUUAUAUAGUGAGUGUUCACCAAUAGCAAUUAUUUGCUUAAAGCUCUUUCAGUACCAAUUGUAUUAGCACAUUCUUGUUAUCAGGUACAAAACUGAAUUAAAUUGCAUAGCCAUAUACUAAGCAGCAAGUUUUACCAUAAUUCCUCUAUGGUUUUACUAGCCAAAAGGUAAUGAUCUCAAGUACUAUUAGCAUACAACACAUUUUUUUCUGACUUGUAACAUGUAUGUAUAGAUAGAACUUUCCAGACUACUUUGUCCCCAUUUUUGGUGUUGAUAUUUAACAUUCUCAUUGCAUGGGUGAGAUUAUACAAACAUGAGAAAAUCCUGCCAACAAAAUCCUGACAACUGGACAGCAAGUUCAUCAUGGUCUGGAGAUGUGACUUGUAACCUGCCUUUGUAUACAUAUAGGUGUAACUUUCCAAAUUACACCCCUACUCUAUUUACUAUUUUCCCCAUGUUGGUAUUGAGAUUUAGGCCUACAUUCUCAUUGCAUGGGUGGGAUUAUACAACAAUUGAAAAACCAUUAUAACUGUACAGCAAUAUCCCUAUGGUCUGAAGACGAAGCUCCCGAAAAAUUGGAUGUUAUAUUUUUAAAGACUCUUUACUCCAACCCUGAUAUCAAUCCAGGCCUACAGGUUUUAUCAUAAAAAAGAACCGAGUCUCGAUGUUGUGGCAAAAGAGUAUGAAAGGUGACAGGACUGGACAGAAGGUCAAUGAAAUAUCCUGAAAACAUAAAAACCCCAGCAAAUAAA